rnacentral:rRNA from 1 species
AGAGUUUGAUCAUGGCUCAGGAUGAACGCUAGCGGCAGGCCUAAUACAUGCAAGUCGAGGGGUAAGGCUCUUUGGGAGUACACGACCGGCGCACGGGUGCGUAACGCGUAUGCAACCUACCUUUAACUGGGGAAUAGCCCCGAGAAAUCGGGAUUAAUACUCCAUAACACUGCGAAGUGGCAUCACUUUGCAUUUAAAGCUCCGGCGGUUAAAGAUGGGCAUGCGUGACAUUAGUUUGUUGGUGAGGUAACGGCUCACCAAGACUUCGAUGUCUAGGGGUUCUGAGAGGAUGAUCCCCCACACUGGUACUGAGACACGGACCAGACUCCUACGGGAGGCAGCAGUAAGGAAUAUUGCGCAAUGGAGGCAACUCUGACGCAGCCAUGCCGCGUGCAGGAAGAAGGCCUUAUGGGUCGUAAACUGCUUUUAUUUAGGAAUAACCCCCUGCUCGUGAGCAGGGCUGAAGGUACUAAAAGAAUAAGCACCGGUUAACUCCGUGCCAGCAGCCGCGGUAAUACGGAGGGUGCAAGCGUUAUCCGGAUUUAUUGGGUUUAAAGGGUGCGCAGGCGGGCUAUUAAGUCAGUGGUGAAAUCCCGGGGCUNAACUCCGGACUGCCAUUGAUCUGAUAGUCUUGAGUUUGGUUAAGUAGCGGAAUGUACCAUGUACGGUGAAAUNAUAGAUUUCUNCAGACACCANNGCGAAGCAGCUUACUAACCAAACUGACGNUAUCNNAAAGCNUGGGAGCAACAGGAUUAAUCCCNGGAGNCCGCCGAACAUGACNCCGUGUGNNAUCCAGCCGCGCCAA